UGAAAAUGUUUUAACAAUAGGAUUUGCUAGG
rnacentral:piRNA from 1 species